rnacentral:piRNA from 1 species
UUUUCUAGCCCUCCGAUUUAA